CGGGGUGCACCAGGCGCGAAAACUCCACAAUGUACGGAAGUACGAUGGGGUUAUCUCGAGUGCAGUCCAAUAAGGGCUGCUUUUCCAUAGAGUAAUAUCCUGUGGGAAUAAGAGGGGGGCAAGACUGGUGUCAGCCGCCGCGGUAACACCAGCCCCUCGAGUGGUGGGGACUAUUAUUUGGCCUAAAGCGUCCGUAGCUGGCUGUAUCCGUCCCCCGUUAAAUCCAGCGUCCUAAGCGUUGGACCGCGGGUGAUACCAUACAGCUAGAGGGUGGGAUAGGUGAGCGGUAUUUCUGGGGUAGGGGCGAAAUCCUUUGAUCCCAGGAGGACCACCAGUGGCGAAGGCUGCUCACUAGAACACGCCUGACGGUCAGGGACGAAAGCUGGGGCAGCGAACCGGAUUAGAUACCCGGGUAGUCCCAGCUGUAAACGAUGCUAGCUAGGUGUUGGGUCGGCCACGCGCCGCCCCAGUGCCGCAGGGAAGCCGUUAAGCUAGCCGCCUGGGGAGUACGGCCGCAAGGCUGAAACUUAAAGGAAUUGGCGGGGGAGCAC
rnacentral:rRNA from 1 species